UUUUUUUUUAUUGUUUUAGUAUUCUAGAUGCUCAUAUUUCUUGAUAUAAAAUUGGUCAAACUUUGUGUAGUUUGACUUUGACCAAAAUUUAUAUGCGGAGUAAAAAGAAACCGAUGAAGUACCACAUAAGCAGCCACCGAGCACACCACAUAACCAAAUCAUAUCUAUUGCCCUUCCUAUAGAAAUGGAAAAAAGCACAUUAAUCUAUUUGUGUUUAUUUCCAUGGGAUUUCUUCCCAUGAUUAAAAAUAUGCCAUGGAAAUGUGCAUGCUUUUUGGACGACGUUUAGUUAUGAAGUCUUACCCUUAAAGUCAAAUAAAUUACAGACCAUACAUCUAUUAAAUCAAUAGACUUAUAUUUGUGCACUUAUCUUAAGAUUUUGAAAUGAAUGCAAUACAUACUUGUAGUUCAAAAUCCCAAUUUGAAGAAAAUAUGACUUUGUAAUCCUUUGAGGAAAUAAAUACUAUCUAAAUGGAAAUUCAAUUCGGUGUCCGGACUCAUCUGUAACCAAUGAACAGUACAUUGAAAACAAAUUAAAAAAAUCUGAAAAUUUUACACAUGAAAGUUUAGAGAAUCUUCUAGGUAAUGUGUCAAAGUUCGAGGUGUUUGGACAUUUUAAGAGCUCGUGGCAUAAAGAACAAAAUCCGGUCUACACGGUGCACUUUUUGAAAGUUUCUUUGAGAAGCCAAUUUUGUUAUUUCUGCCACAAGCUCCUCAAAUGUUUAAACACCUUGAAAUUUUGCACGCGCCUAGAAUAUUCUCUAAACUUUCGUAUGUAAAAAUUCAGAUUUGUUUGAUGUUUUUUUUCAAUUUUACUGUUCAUCGGAAGGUGCAGCUUAGCCUGGGUGCAGAAACGUCACAUCCCUAUCUAAAAGACUACAUAUCUCUCUUUCCAUACUUAAUUAUAGUCCCGCUAGCUCUAUGUAUCAGACAACGCAUGGUACCGAUAUGAGACUGUGGGUGGCCUCUUCCUACUCCUAACUAUGAUACCACGCUUGGGUUGUUGUGGAUGGGUCACGCGACGAUACCAUUGCUUUGCAAGGUGUCAUGUUGGCCAUAGGUGCGCUAGCAGCGGACCCUGUCACGCCACAUACAUUAAUAUUGCGGUGAUGGCUAAAUUAGUUUCAGUAGAUUCACCAUUAAAUAUAUGUUUGUAUCGUAUGUACACGGCGAUAUACAUUUUAAGAUUCUUUUCAUAAAUUUGAUUAAACUAUAAAUGUCUGACUUAAGAUAACGCUAAAACUUUAGUUAGGGUUCCUUCGAUUCAAAAUAAUUUUAUAGGAUUCGAAUCUUUAGAAAAUUUCCCUAGAUAGCAUGUUUAAUUCAUAGGAUUGGAAUCCUUAGAAAGAAUUCCAAAGGAUUGCUUUGCACUUUGUUUUAAAGGAAAUUUUCCACCCACUCAAAACUACUUUUAUAAUUCCUUGUUUUUCCUACUAUUUGGCAUCAAGCACUCUAUGGAGGUGUGCGCUCGUUUCUCCUUCUUGAAGAAAAAAGAGGGGAAAACCUAGGCUCUAUCUCACAAAAGAAAUAAAACCCUUUUCACCUCAGCCAAAUAGUAGAUGACACGUGGCCCUCACAUCCCUCUUGAAAAGGAAAAACCUCACUUUCAUAUUAAAAAAGGAAAAACAAAACUUUUCUAAAAACACAUUCCACCGUGGUCAACCAGCAGGUGCCACUUGGUAUAGUUGGUCGGUCGCUCUUUCUUUUCUCUUUAAUGGGUUUAAUUCCAAUAAUUUGCUUAUCCUAUAGAAUUCAAGUGUGUUUGUAACUCGAAUCUUAUGUUUUUCCUAUUCUUUUUUUUUCUAUUCCUACUAAUCAAAUAUCUAAAAUCUAACCAUGUGAUAGGACUACUUGGGAAAGCAAUGAAUGAGAGAGUGUAGUUGUCCUUGACAUCAUGACCGCUGCUCAACAUAAUAUGACCGGUCACUAUUGUCGUGGGGUGUGUGCCUGGCAAACCAGAAUGCAGUGUUUAAAUGCGGCAUGGCCCAUGUUGGGCACAAUUUGGAUAAUAUAAGUUAUUUAGGUAGACUUAUACAAUUCUUUUCACAUUGGAUGGAGACUUUGUGAGCCAACUCAAUUCUCCCACAUCACAAAAAAGUAGUCCAUGCGCAACGCCUGGGUAACACCAUAUCUAACCUUUGUCAUUCUUUGCCAUAUUAAGAUUACAGACUAAUUGCAAAAGUCAUCUAACUUUCGCUAUGUGCAUCUACCCUCUGCUAGGCUCUCAAGCAACAUACCGCCAAAAUAAAAAUACAUUAGAGACAAAAAUGAAGACACAAUCAAUCCAUACACAACGUUUGAGAUCAAUCAUAUUGUCUAUUUAUCUCUACUACUAUAGUGUAGCAGUUUUGAAUUUGAAUUUACCACUUCCCUCCCAGCUUCCCGCCAAAACGCUUUUGAGGUGCUUGGAGCCGUUGAUUUCCCACAUUAGGUUGACAUCUACCGUUCAUCAAUUGUCAGCGCUACAUAUCCAACGGAUAGCAUGCGCCGGAUUCGCCUCUCAUGCCGUGAGUCACAGGUCCACAUUGAACCAGCUGCAGGAACCAUCUAGAAGCUUUAUAGUAUUUCCUCCUUAAGAAAAUAUAUAGAAGCUAGAAGGUUGUUCCAGAAACUUACCCGUCUGCGGCUGGCCGGCCGGUCACAAUGGAUGGAUUUUUUUAGCUUGACCGAGACAAUACCUGUCUUAUCACAUAACUAGGAGUACUACGAUUUUGAUGUAAAAGAAAAGGAGUACUACGAUUCAGCCGUAGUAGAAAAAGGGUAUGACGCACCACUAUCCAGAAUAUUUUUCUCAGCAAAGAUAGAGAUUUCUACCAAUCCAUAAACAUAGAAGAAACUAAAUAGAUGCUUCACAUUCUAAUAUGCUCACUAUGUCAUACUUCCUCUGUACCUAAAUAUAAGUCUUUUUAUAGAGAUUCCAAUAAAAACUACAUACGGAUGUAUAUAGACAUAUUUUAAAGUGUAUAAUCACACAUUUUGCUUCGCAUGUAUUCCACAUUAAAAUCUCUAUAAAGACUUAUAUAUAGGAAUGGAGGGAGUAAUUUAGAUGGUAAAGGUUUUAUUAAGCAAGGCUAAAGCUUUGCAUUUUCAUUAAAUGAGCAAGGAUUAAAGAGCAUGUACAAGGUCGUAUUAAAAAAGAGCAAACAGACUACUCUCUAGCAAAUUCACAAAAAAAACUACUCUACAGGAAUGAUCGCCCCUAAGUGUUUCACCUCGGUGACAUACCACAACCUAGCCCCUUUCUUGAUAUUGCUAAAUACAGACGUAGCCAAAGAUGCAAAAUUGCGAAAAACUCGAGCAUUCCUCAUUCAAAAUCUCCCAUGACACGCGCUUAAGAAGAUAAGCCAUGUCACUGUUUGGCUGCUCAUUUGAGUUGGCCGCUUUGGUCCACCAAGUGUGGGCGGAGUUGAAUGAUGCCAGUUUCCGAGGUCGAGGUCCUUGUUUCCAAGCCAACCUUUGAUCAUGCACUAAAUUCUUUGUGUAUAUUGGCAUUGGAAUAGGAUGUUUCCCGAGGUCUCCAUGUGACAUUUGCAAAGAUGGCAAAAGCUACAAUUAGGCUAUCCUCUUUUUUGCAAUUUAUCAUUUGCCAAGCAAAAAAAUUGCACUUUAAAGACGCCCAAGCUUUCCAAACUGUCAGCUUGAUCAACGACGAAGUCAAACCAAGAAAAUGGGCAUUGGAUGCCGAGACAGUGGAGUAGCAAGCAUUGGAGAUGAGCUUCCAAAUGCAAACAUAUAAAACUCUCCAAUGUGCUCGAUGGUUAAUUCAUCAAUCAAGCGCGUGCUUUAUAGGUUAGCGUGCAAAGCAGCGUGCAACUUACUAGUACAGUAUAUAGACCUCUCUCCACGACGUUUUGCUUAUUUUGUCACCAAAAAACAAAGUAUGGGAAUGUCUCGUGCGUCCGGCGUAUCAAAUUCCUCUUUUUUUUUUGAGGGGGCGUAUCAAAUUCCUUCUUUUUUUUUGAGGGGGCGUAUCAAAUUCCUUGUGUGAGCUCCGUUUAAGUUAACACGCUGCUGAUCCACCUAUCGAAUACCUUCGAUAUAUCUGUCAUACGAUAUACUCCACACAAAGAAGCAAUAACGGGAACAUCUGCCUCCGUGUGCAGACACGCAUUUUUCCAGGAGGAGAGCGGUGCCUUCCACGGAACUUUCCAACCCGAACCGUGGAUCGGGAUCGUACGGCCGUGAUCUCGCCACGUCCAGCCAGACGACCCCUUCGAAGCGACGCGACAGAUUCUAGAGCGCCGCCACCGUGGUCGCCGCCGGCUCCGCUCGCGCAACAGCACACGAUGCUGCGCCGCGUCGCGCCGUCGCUCCGCCGAGCCCUCGCCGCCUCCGCCGUCCCGCGCGGCGGCUGCGGCGCGCGCCUUCCCGACCCGGGCCUCUCAUCUCCCCACGCCCUACCCCCGCAAUGGCGCCGCUGGGCUUCCGCGGCCGCCGCGUCCUCGCUCCCGCCGCCUCCGCCGUCCCCUCCCCAGGGCCCGCCGCGGCACGCGGGCGGGGGGUCCGCCGCGUCCUCGCUGAACCCCGCCGAGGUGGCCAAGUUCGCCGCCAUCGCCGAGACCUGGUGAGAUCCCUCCCUGGCCCUCUGAGAUGGUGAACCCCGGUGCUUAUGCUCUGAAUGUUUGGUUAAAAUUUUGGAGCAAAUUGGAGCUGCAAAAAUUGCUGGGCCUGUUUGUAGGAUCCGAAUAGCGAAAUAGGUCUGCCACGGGUCACAAUGAUGAACAUUGUGCACAGGGAAUCAGUCACUGCUGGCAUAGCGAACACCAGAAUUAGGUGCAGCCAUGAGUUUCUUAGAAGUUAGAAUAGCCUGCAACAGCUAGUGUAGUUUGUCGACGCUUUCCAAUGAAUUUGUAUACAUUUUUGUUCUGUAGAUAUCAACAUGCCUCUAGAUAUGUUUUAUACGAGUACAUAUCAAUGUGCCUCGACAUGUUCAGGGAAUUGCAUGAAAAGUACUACGGUGUAUGGGCUACUGUACGUUGAGAAUGCCUACAUAGUUUUUCCAUGUUUAACAAUGGUUAUUAAAAUCAAAUCUGGUGUUUGGGGUCUUUCUAUUAUGUCAUCUCUGUUCUAUGAAGAAGCAUUUGCUGCCACUAUGCCAGUGCAGCACUUAGUAUGUGUGUAUGUUAAGAUGCUCAAAGUGAAGGGUGUGACAAGUUUUUCCUUUGCAUAUGAUUGGUUACUGAUGAUGAUACUUCUUCUGGAAUAAACAGGUGGGAUUCUCAAGGUCCAUUCAAACCAUUGCAUUUGAUGAAUCCGACAAGACUAUCUUUUAUUCGCUCCACACUCUGUAGACAUUUCAGGUACAUUUAAUGUAUCCUGUAUUUUGUUUUCUGUGGAGCAUUGCUGUUGUGGUUGUUAGUUUUUCUUUUCCCCCGAAGAGAAGACAAGUGCUGGACUGCCUAUUGUACCGUUCCUUAUUCCGUAUUGUGAUUAUUUUCCCGUUCCUCAGUUCUCAUCAUCAAUAUCGCUGCCUUUUGUUGUAUUUUGCCUAAGUUCAUCCUACGGUAUCCACAUCUGUUCUACUUUGUCUAAAGUUAAUUCUUCCAGGAGGGAUCCAUAUUCCGCUAAGCCACUUGAAGGUCUUAAAGUUAUUGAUGUUGGAUGUGGAGGUGGCAUUCUCUCAGAGGUAUAAAGCUUUGUCAGCCAAUUUUUUUAAUAAUUAAAACCUUCUGGUGGUUUACAUACUAGAUGGUAAAUACCCUUUGAGGGUUUUUCAUCUGUGUGAAAGGGAGAAUUAAGUCAUCUAGUUCACUGAUAUAGAAAUGGAUAAUGGAUAUGCAAUAUUUUCCUUCUUACUUGUCAUAUUUUUUUAAUGUCAGGUAUCACAUUAUGCAACUUACUCACAUUGAACUUUUAGAUUUAAAUUCAUAUUCACAACUAUAGCUAUCUUCAGCAUUUUGACUUACUAGUCUCUAUAGCCUAUAAUGAAUGUCUUAUACUACCCAUGGUAUGUUCCCCUUGCCUACAGCCUGAGUUAAGCUUAUUGAUGUGUACUUAUUGCAUUUCUAAUCUAGAUAUAUACUCCCCCCUUUCCAGAAUACUAAGUGCUAGGUGUGUCCUAACUUUAUAGAAAACUUUGCUAAUAUGUGUGUGUGUGUGUGUGUGUGUGUGUGUGUAGUAGUAGUAGAUAUUGGCAUAUUUUUCUACAAACCUGGUCGAACUUAAAGAAGUUAGACUUAGGACAAACCGCAGAACUUCAAGUACUUUUGAACGGAGGGAGUACUAACUAGUUGGUUUGAAAGUGUCAGUCUUUGCCUCGGAUCAAAGUCUUUGUAGUGUUACAAUGCAAUUUGGACUUUGACAUGUGUUUUCUUCUGUGAUUGAACUGCCGGAUAAAAUAUUUGUUGACCUUUUGGAUCAUCUUUGUUGGAUGGCAGCCUCUUGCUCGGAUGGGAGCGACAGUUACUGGUAUUGAUGCUGUUGACAAGAAUAUAAAGAUUGCGCACAUUCAUGCCGUAUGUAUUACUCAUCUUCAUGUCAAUUGUUUAGUAGAAAUAGCUGUGCUUAUUUUCUUGUCACUUAUUUUAUGUAUAAUUUAGACGAGAAAGGUAUACUGCUAAGUUUUAUUUAUUGGCUUCCUGCUGAUAACUGUGAAACAUAUAAUGCUAAUAAAUAUGGUCUUAUUCAUACUUUGCCUGAUGAUAUAGCACAUGAUAACUAUGCAUGCAGUAUUAAGCCUUUUAGGACUGAUGACUUCCAUGUUUUUUUCUUUGCCUUUUAACUUUAGUCCUUUACUCAUGUAAACAUCAAAUGCCCCUAAAAGUGCAUCGAUUGUUCAUGAUUUUACACUGCCGGAAUUGCCAGAACCAUGAUGGAUUUAUUACAUUUUUCACCAAUGAUUUUUGCUUCAUACCUUUGCAGGCAUCUGAUCCAACAACUGCUUCCAUUGAGUAUUGCUGCACAACCGCUGGUAAUGACUUCCAGGGCAUAUUCCAGUGACAGUUAGUUAUGUAGCUCCACUAUGUAGAGUAAUUAACCAGACUGUAAAGGAAGACCGGCAGCUUCCAAAUUUAGACAAGAUAGAUUAAAUUGAGAUAUACAAGUAAUUUGCAUGAGGUCAUGGGUUCAAGUCCUGGAAACAGCCUCUUACAGAAAUGUAGGGAAAGGCUGCGUACUAUAGACCCAAAGUGGUCGGACCCUUCCCUGGACCCUGCGCAAGUGGGAGCUACAUGCACCAGGUUGCCCUUAUACAAGUAAUUUACAUCUGCUGUUUCUUAUGGCUGAAAAUAGCAAAACUUAUAUGUAUUAUUGUUCAUAUGCAGAGGAUUUGGUAAAAGAGAACAAGCAAUUUGAUGCUGUAAUUUCUCUUGAGGUAUGAACAUUUUUCGUCCUGUCUUACACCCCUAGCCCCUGCUGUCUUCCAAAGGUCUUUGAUCAAGAAUAGAUUGCCUCCAUAGCUCAUUUACCAUAGCAUUCACUAUCAGAGAGGUGUUUUGGUAAUUCAUUGAUGCGUGAUCCCUUUUAAAACCUUUGUUUGAUAUUGAAGACUGCUUUUAUCAUGUAUUACAGGCAUAUAGGCUAUAGCUUCUGCUAGAAUCAUGUGUUAGGGGGGCUGCUGGCUCUAACCACUCAAAGAAUGGAUACAAUCUAAUAAGGGAUACCAUCCCAUUAGUUAGGACAGUUUGACUUAUAUUUUAUUUGUCAGGGGCAUCAAUACAAAGAGAAGAGCCAUCUGCGCCAUCCAAUCAAUUAAGCUACAAGAAGUUCAUCAAUCUAUUCUGCCUGCAUGUGUAGUCUCCCUCAUUUUUUUGUCGUCUCUCAACCCCUAGAGUCAAGUCAUGUGUUCAUCGAAAAGGAGACACCAGUGCAAAAUAUUGGGAGAACUUUGUGAAUAUCAUAACACAUAACACACUGUAUAAGCUCUUUGUGAAUAGGAUGAUUAAGUACUGUGUGCCUUGCACGUACAGCUUUCUUAACUGAAACUAGUGUACUGGAUCAAAAAUAAGAAUUGCCUUAAUAUCUUUGCAGGUGAUUGAGCACGUCGCCAAUCCUUUGGAGUUCUGCAAAUCUCUAUCAGCUUUGACAGCUCCUAAUGGUGCCACUGUGAUUUCUACAAUCAACCGGUCAAUGAGAGCAUAUGCGGCCGCCAUUGUUGGUGCUGAGUAUAUUCUCAGAUGGGUCAGUCUCAUUGUCCAUUUUGCAUUUUUUUUUUGUUUCAAUUCCUACAGAAGAUUGAUUCACAUAGUUGGUAGUCUAUUAUGUUGGGAGUAAUAUGCCAUUUCACGGUCGCUAGCUUAGCAAAAUCUUGACUCCUGAGAUUGUAAGAUGUCCUAAUGCUAAUGCUCAUGACCCAUGAGCAGUCUCAAGCCAAAAGAAAUGUCGUUCAAUUCAUCAGCCUAACAUAUGGCUUUGUGUAUGCAAAUGGUAGGAAGGGCCGUGUUAUCUUGAUUUUUAAUAUGCAAGGUUGCACAGCUCACAGAUAAACAAAGGUGUAUGGAUAUAUUGAUCUGUAUAGCUGUGUUUGUUGGGCUAGAAUUCAAUAAGGGUUCAGAUCCUCCAAGGAAAUAGAGUGCUAUCAUGUUCAUUUGCAAAAUAAUCAACAACCUGUUUCAACAUAUGCUCAUUCCUACUAAGGUUGAUGCUCCGAUGAAUCUGAAUCAAUGAUACUGUACUCCUAAAGUCUUGAUGGUUUUCUUUGUACUUUUACAGCUUCCUAUAGGCACACAUGAGUGGUCCAAACUAGUCACCCCCGAGGAGCUAGUCCUAGCACUGCAACGAGCCUCAAUCUCCGUAAGCUACUAAUCACUCCCACGCGAUGAUCUUGCCGGCACUUCAUAUAACUGACAGCUUUGACAUCUUGUCUCCAGGUGGAGGAAAUGGCAGGGUUCUUCUACAAUCCGUUGACUAGAGAGUGGUCCCUGUCUGAUGAUACUAGUAUAAACUACAUUGCUUACGGCAUCAAGAAAAGCGAAGCACCCUCAGCGACACCACAGUAGCAAGAUUAGCUAGUCGUGGUUGGAGAGGAUGGAUCGUUUGUGAAUUACUGGAACAAUUUUUGGGAAGCAAAACUUAUGCCACUUAAGAUCUUGGCAGUGAUCACAACCAAGUAGCGGCGAAGAAAGGUUGUACUCCUGGAGUAGUCUUGUUUUCUUUGAGAAGUUGAUGGGAGAGACCAGCUAACAAGUAGUGCUAGUUUAGUUUCCACUGUUUGUAAUAAAUGUAUGCUUCAUACAAGUUCAUCAAGUUUGGGGUAAUCCCCUGAUCUACAUCACAUAAACAGAAAUAUACUACCUCUGGGCAAGCAGGAAAUGUCAAGUCAAGUGAAGGCUAAUGUUUUUUGGUCAUGUUCAUGUCUGCAUUUCUUGUACUUGGUAGAUUGACAAUUUGUUAUGCUAAAUAAAACGGAUUUUCUGGAGGGGAACUCAAAAUAUAUUCUGAAUUUCUUAAGACCAAAGCCAUACUUCCAAUGCCAUUUUUGUGCCGUGAGGAAAUAUAUAAUAGUCAAAUUUUGCUACUCCCUCCGUCCUUUAAAGUGUGUACUUUCUACUUUGUUGGAGGGUCAAACUAUCUCAAAGUUUGUCCAAGUUUGUGAAAAAAAUAUAUCAAUGUUUGUGAAACUAAAUAGAUAUAUGAUGAAAAUAUAUUUUACCAUGAAUCUAAUGUUAAUAAUUUUCCUUUUUUCUGAACAUAGUACAAAUGCAAGCAACUCAUACAUACACGCACACUCAUCCCUCGCACACCCUACCCAUAUGAGCAUCUUCUAAUUUGAUGGCAUAAAUGUUGGUGUAUUAUUGUAUAAAUAUGGUCAAACAUAAAAAAAAUUUGACUUUCAAACAAAGUUGAAAGUACACUCAGGACAGAGGGAAUACUCCUUAACCUGCAAGCUUAUUCUCCAUUGCAGAUUUCCACUCCAUUUCAAACUUAAAACAAGCAAAGUCAGCCUGAUGAAAACAUGAACAUACCAACCACAGGCUUGAGAACAACCACCAACAUAGCAUUCUUCUCUUGUACUAAAAAUUAGUCCUAAUCUCAACCAUGAUAACAUACUGGAAGAGAACCAACCUUACAGUCUCAUAUAUGAUGGAUCCAUACACAUCGGACAUGCAACACUACUAUUAAGGUUCAAACACAAGUACACAAUAUCAUCGCUUGUUUAUUAAACGCAGGAUGAACUGCCUACUAACGGUUCGAUCAGCCAUAAGGCUAACUACAGGGAUGGCUGAAGGUGGCAGCCAAUAACACCAACGCAUUACAGUCAUAGUAGUAAUAACCAUUUCAUUUUGCAACCAGACAUGCUCAUGCACCAUCAUCAUCUUCAACAGUGUUGACGCGCUCGCACUCAUCGAUCCAUUCGCUGUAUCUGCAGGAAAAUUAAUAUGAUCUUCAGUUCCUGGUCUCUGACGUAUUUGCACCAACUCACUAGUCAAGAGUUAUUUGUUGAAUUUGACUUACAUAUCAAUAGGCUCAGUCAGCGCUGCACCAAAGAAAACAGAGAAUUAGUACAAUACCAGAAACAUGUAGGUCAGCAAGGGUAAAAAAUUCUAC
rnacentral:lncRNA from 1 species